rnacentral:rRNA from 1 species
CUUGUUGGUGGGGUAACGGCUCACCAAGGCGACGAUCCCUAGCUGGUCUGAGAGGAUGACCAGCCACACUGGAACUGAGACACGGUCCAGACUCCUACGGGAGGCAGCAGUGGGGAAUAUUGCACAAUGGGCGCAAGCCUGAUGCAGCCAUGCCGCGUGUAUGAAGAAGGCCUUCGGGUUGUAAAGUACUUUCAGCGGGGAGGAAGGGAGUAAAGUUAAUACCUUUGCUCAUUGACGUUAUCCGCAGAAGAAGCACCGGCUAACUCCGUGCCAGCAGCCGCGGUAAUACGGAGGGUGCAAGCGUUAAUCGGAAUUACUGGGCGUAAAGCGCACGCAGGCGGUUUGUUAAGUCAGA